GUUGGUUUUGAAUCAGAUAGGACGACAGAUUUCAGGUGGCCCUGUGUCUUUCUCUAUUACAUUUGCCACUGUGUAACUCAAAGUUAUUUAAGGACUAGUUUAUUUCAAUGGAUGAGUUUACUGACUGACGCGCAGAAGAAAUAGUUCUUUAUGGAGCCUAGAUGGUGUGAAUGAUGAGACCAAAGACUGCAAUAUCUUGUACCAAAAAUAUAUUGAAUAAAUGGAGGAAAGGGGAAAUGGAACAAAAUAAUUAACACAACACACAACAUAAAUGCCCACAAUUAAAUAAUAAAUCAAUGCUGUGAUCUUUCUGUGCAAAAGUCCUUUUUGGUCCUCUUCUUUUUAAAGUUCACUUUUAAGGUAUUCCUCCUUAGAGUCCAGCUUCAUACAAAUGGGGAAAUAUGUCCGUAAUCCAAAGACGGCUAAGUGGGGGAAAGAGGGGAAACAAAGAAUGGUCCUACCGGCUCGCCACUUCAAUAUGAAGAAGAUUAAUUCAAAGGGAGGGAACAAAACCUGACCUGUAGGUCAGAAAAACGUCCAUUAGCACAUCAAGUUCGAUUCAGUUUACUGGUAAACAAAUAUUUUUCUGCAAGCCUAUGUAACAAUGCAAAUCAUCAUCAACCAAUGUACAACAGUUAAAUUAUUAAUCAUCUUGGCUACGUAGCUUAAUCUAUACAUUCCAGUAGCGUUCGCUACAAACAAUACAAAAACAACAAUAAAGAAAAACAGCUGUCUAACAGACAGCAUAGCCGAAUUCAAGGCAACACAUAACAAUAAUCAUUCAAUCGCACUUUGUUUCAAAGUAAGCCCAUUAAAAUGCUUAAGUAAAUAAAAGUGUUCAAAAACAGCGGUUUUUGAGCCGGAGUUCUGCUCGCGGUGGGAACGCCGCCGCAAAAAGCCACUUUUUAAUCGCGAAAACGAUCGGCUGGUUACUGACAACCAAAAGGUUGUUUUUGGUAGAUAUUAAAGAUCAUGGGUGGGCGGGGCAAAUGGAGCAGUUUUCUACAGUCGAGUAAAAUUCCAGGAAAGAGCUGGGUGUGGCUUUCCUUUAAAUCACAUGAUCAACAGCUUUAAGAUGGAGGCAACUCGCUCAGUGUUUCCUGUUUCAUUCUUAGACUGUGGCGAUGGUAAGUAGCAGCUUUUCACUUGUUACCUGGCAUCUUUUCAGCCACCAAUGAUAGUCAUUGUAUGUUAUCAACAUUUCACUAACUAUGUUGUCUCUCAUGUUUAAAAUAGGCCGACCAAGAGCAAAAUAGGUAUGUCUGCAGACUCUGCUGUAGCCAAAGUUAUCAGAUCUCCUGUGUCUUUAAAUCCCUAACUGCUCGAUCAUUAUCAUUUUAGAAGACAACAAUUUCUCAAAGGAGGUUCAAAACUAAUGCCUACAAGAUUACCAAGAGGAUGGUUCGGGGCUCUUACAUGACUCCGGGAAGUCAACACUUGGUGGAUGAGAUCCUUCACAGCAUGUUGUUUCUGGGCAAAAUCAACAACAUCCCCUUUUCUCCAGAAGAAAUCUUCCCUAAUCCUUUUGUUUUGGGUUCUUUAAUGAGAAGAUAUCCCAGGCCUUUUAAGUUGUAUUCGACUCAGCUUCCCAGGCGAAGUCCCUUCUCCUGUGUGCUCGACAUGAUCGUCCUGCAAAAUAACUCAGAGAAUGAAGAGCAAAUAAAGCAGAGUCUGCAAGAUCUCCUCACAGACUUGGACUUAGAAGAGAAUAAUAAAAAAACAGCUUUCGUCUCGUCCACCAUCUGCAUUUCUCAAAAAUCCCAAACCAACAAAUCAGAAAGGUACUGCGGAGUCUCCAUGUCCACCAAAGGUCCUAACGCUGGGAAAAUUAUGAUUGCUGCCUCCUGUCUUAGCAAAUGGCAUAAAUAUGUAUCUGGUGCGGUGAUGACCUAUUAUCCAAACACAGUCCAGAAAGAUUACUUUGAUGGAACAAUUGAAGUACCUGGAAAUAUCAGGUGUGAGGCUUUUUGUCUCCGUGAUGGUGCCAGAAUGAAGCCUUGCAGAUCAUGUAAGAAUUUGUUUGGCUUGAACACAGAAGACCUCAGAGAGUGGCCAUAUGGUAACUGUGCUGAAGCUGAGAGCCUGAGCAAUUUGCUUGAAAAUGAGAGAGAAGUUGAAACACAUGUGGAUGAAUACUCAGCUGAAAAGGACAACAGGCAGAGAGCUGAGGAUGAGGUUGAUGGGUUCUUAGAACUGUGUUGCAAAGGAUUCGGUUUAACUGGACAGGUGAAUUUUACAACCCAGAACAAGAGUGAGAUUUCAUGAAAUCAUUUGCAUUCAUCAUUCUGAUAAAUCAAAGAUUCUCUGCUCUGACAGCAUCUGUGUGGAUUUUCUGUAAUCACAGAGACGUGUAUAAGCAUGUUUACUUUCCAUCUCCAUGUAAUUGUCACAUUUAAUAAUUAAAACUGGCUUCUAUGGGUUUUUGUUUGUUUGCUUACAUAUCUAGUGUUUAAUGCAAUAUGAAGCAUUAUCAGACAGCAUUUAUUGGGAAGAAUCCCAUGUUUAUACUGGUCUGUACCCAGGGUACACAG
ensembl:lncRNA